UAAUGGGAAAAAGCUAUUUUGGGAUUGGGAACAUAGAAUGAGGACAAGUUGCACGGCCAGGAGACUCGAUAUGACGCUUGAGGACAGCGAAAAGAAAGAGAUUAUCCCAAAAGAUAUGGCGUGUCCGAAUGAGUCGAACAGAAAUGUGAAACGAGAUGAGAAGAUAAGAAAGUAACAACAGCUGUGUUUUUAACAAAGGGAAAGACGGGAACGAUACAGAGGGAAAGUCAUACCAUCAGUGAUCGGUUGCCUAGGAGAAGGCUUGAAAAAUGAAAUGAUGAAAUGAAAAUAUUGAAACACGGUACCGUAUAAGAGAAUUUUUUACAAUGAGAAAGAUUUAAAUCAGAUAAGCAGAGAAAAGAAAAAGUCAGUACAGUGAGAAAGCGAGACAAAAAUUAAAAAAAUAUGAUUGAUCUGGACUGCUAACAUGAGUUGUAUUCUGAUAAUAGCUGACAAACAUUGACAGUUAAUGCUCUUCCCUCAGGGAAGGGCACUGGCCAACGUUACAAUAUG